CAUGCAGUCGAACGAGAAGCUGACUUCGGUCAGUGGAAAGUGGCGGACGGGUGAGUAAUAUGUAGGAAAUCUGCCUUUGGGUGGGGGACAACAGAGGGAAACUUCUGCUAAUACCCCAUAUGAGCUAUCUUGAAAUAGAUAUCUUGAAAACUCCGGUGCCUGAAGAUGAGCCUGCAUCUGAUUAGCUAGUUGGUGGUGUAAUGGACUACCAAGGCGACGAUCAGUAGCUGGUUUGAGAGGAUGAUCAGCCACAAUGGGACUGAGACACGGCCCAUACUCCUACGGGAGGCAGCAGUAGGGAAUUUUGCGCAAUGGGGGAAACCCUGACGCAGCAACGCCGCGUGAACGAUUAAGCCUUUCGGGGUGUAAAGUUCUGUCAGUGGGGACGAAAAAUGACGGUACCCACAGAGGAAGCACCGGCUAACUCCGUGCCAGCAGCCGCGGUAAUACGGAGGGUGCAAGCGUUGUCCGGAAUCAUUGGGCGUAAAGAGUUCGUAGGUGGUAUGUUAAGUCUGGUGUUAAAGCCCGAAGCUCAACUUCGGUUCGGCACUGGAUACUGGCAAACUUGAAUGCGGUAGAGGUAAAGGGAAUUCCUGGUGUAGCGGUGAAAUGCGUAGAUAUCAGGAGGAACAUCGGUGGCGUAAGCGCUUUACUGGGCCGUAAUUGACACUGAGGAACGAAAGCCGGGGUAGCAAAUGGGAUUAGAUACCCCAGUAGUCCCGGCCGUAAACGAUGGAUACUAGGUGUUGCGGGUAUCGACCCCUGCAGUGCCGCAGCAAACGCGUUAAGUAUCCCGCCUGGGGAGUACGCACGCAAGUGUGAAACUC
rnacentral:rRNA from 1 species